GCGUGUGACUGCGUACCUUUUGUAUAAUGGGUCAGCGACUUAUAUUCUGUAGCAAGGUUAACCGAAUAGGGGAGCCGAAGGGAAACCGAGUCUUAACUGGGCGUUAAGUUGCAGGGUAUAGACCCGAAACCCGGUGAUCUAGCCAUGGGCAGGUUGAAGGUUGGGUAACACUAACUGGAGGACCGAACCGACUAAUGUUGAAAAAUUAGCGGAUGACUUGUGGCUGGGGGUGAAAGGCCAAUCAAACCGGGAGAUAGCUGGUUCUCCCCGAAAGCUAUUUAGGUAGCGCCUCGUGAAUUCAUCUCCGGGGGUAGAGCACUGUUUCGGCAAGGGGGUCAUCCCGACUUACCAACCCGAUGCAAACUGCGAAUACCGGAGAAUGUUAUCACGGGAGACACACGGCGGGUGCUAACGUCCGUCGUGAAGAGGGAAACAACCCAGACCGCCAGCUAAGGUCCCAAAGUCAUGGUUAAGUGGGAAACGAUGUGGGAAGGCCCAGACAGCCAGGAUGUUGGCUUAGAAGCAGCCAUCAUUUAAAGAAAGCGUAAUAGCUCACUGGUCGAGUCGGCCUGCGCGGAAGAUGUAACGGGGCUAAACCAUG
rnacentral:rRNA from 1 species